GUAAAACUGCUUUAUACAAGGCACCGAGUGUGUGAUGUCUUAAGGUUCUUUAUGGACUUUGUUGAUUCGGAGGGGUUGAUGAAUGGAUUGUGUGGAAUGUUUGACUCUAGUCUGAGGAUUAACAUGUUAACAUAUGACGAAUUCUUUUUAGGGAUAGUAGAAGGAAUGAAUGGUCUGCACCGCGAGCGGGGUUCCUUGAAAUAAUGCAACAAGUUUGCAUACGGCUAGAACGAGCUGUGAAACCAGUCACCGCUGAUACUGUCUCAGUUCAUGGACGCAUGCACUCCGCUAGCUGCGCUGCUAGUCGAUUCGACACAAAAAAUACACAGUGAUAGUCAUUAUUCUCCAGUCGCUACAAAAGAUUUCAUAUAGCAGAACGUACGGACGAGAGAACAAUAUCCAUGAGGGAUUUAGAAACCAAUAAAGAGCUUCGGAGCGCAACAAAAAUGGAGAACGACACCGGUCCUGGCAAGAGGCGGUGCUGCCUUACAGGGACCGUGAACGCUAUACCAUAUGCGUUUUCUCUUGUUUCUUUCGCCUUUUGUUUUUUAUUGAAUGUUCAGACCAGCGAGAUUAAGGACAGAAUCGUGGAUCUUGAGACUGGUGGUGGCGCCCGGCUAUUAAGCCCUUUUUAUGGGAUCUCUAUGGAUCAAUUUCAUUCAAUGAUACAGCAACGAGUGGACGAACUGCUGUCACAGCACUCCAAUGACCACUUGGCUAAAAUAAGGACUGCUCGACAAGCUUCACCAUCUGAAUGCAACUGCCCACCAGGUAACAGCUCUGUGCUAUGCCCUUUUUUCUUGGUUAGUACAUGUUGAUUGGUUGAUAAGUUAUGGAUGAAAUUUCAAGGAUGAAUUUGUGGAAUUAGAAGAGAUACUGUAAAGUCCACUUCAUUCCUUGGGUUUCCACUCUUUAGAUGUCUAAGAACCCGACCUGUCUUUUAGGCAAGGUUCACACUGCUAGGCUUAGUGGUUAAAUCAGAUUUUUUUCUCAGAUCUGUUUUUUUUUUUUUUGCAUAGCUGUUCACACUGUUGUUAUAAAUGUGGCUGAUAUCAGAUUUCCAGUGUGAACAAUUCAUGGUCCUAAACUGACCCUUAUGCUUAAUAGUACAUCUACCUGUAUACACAGCACACAAUUUAUAAUUAUGCACACAAUGGUAUACUGUGUGAAGUGAAUAAAGCACGUUGUCCGAUUAUGUUAAUAUUAAUGUGAUAAUUGCUGUUUCAAUUAAAAAAAUGUCAUUUUUUAUGACCUGUAAAUUGUUGUUUUGAUUGUUUAAAAUUUUAAAUAAGUGUUUUUUGAAUGAAACACUGAUUUGUAAUUUAUGACAAGCACAGUGCACUUCUCUCUUGACCAAUUCUGAUUUUUGAAAAAUAUUCAAACUGAACAACCCUAAUUUUUGGCAAAGUAUUUAACCUGUGUGCUAUUCUGCUAUGCCACUAAUGAGUAGAGGAUGUUUGCAGCAUUAACCCAGAAUAAUGACGUGUGUCUAUCAAAAAUAGUGUUAAAGUCACAUGAAUUCCUACAUUGCCGUUCACACUGCGGUCAGAUUGCCAAACAUCAGAUUUGUAUCAGAUUUUAUUCCACAUAUGAAAUGGCAUAAACCGAAAUUGAAAAGAUCAAAUUCCAUGUGGUUUGAGCAGUUCACAGAUUGAACAGAUCUGAAUCACAUGUGGGCAAAAAAAAAAGUUAGUAAGACAUCUAAAAUAUGCUGGUAGGUGGUUAAUGUCUCUCUCUUCUCUCUCUCUCUCUUUUUCGCACCAUCAGGUUAAAGAUCUAGUAACCUUUAAUAAUAUUUGGGGAGUAAAUCAGUGUUUGUGUGCUAUAUAUAUAUAUAUAUAUAUAUAUAUAUAUAUAUAUAUAUAUAUAUAUAUAUAUAUAUAUAUAUAUAUAUAUAUAUAUAUAUAUAUAUAUAUAUAUAUAAUUUUUGGGAUUUUGCAUGUAUAUAUUUUAUAAGGUCUCUCUACACACACACACACACACACACACACACACACACACUCACACACACACACACACACACACACACACACACACACACACACACACACACACACACACACACACACACACACACACACACACACACACAUACAUAUACACACAGCAUUGCCAAAUAUACAUGUAUCUAGAGAAAUGUAAUGGAAAAUCAAAUUAAUAUAAAUUAACAAUAGUAGAGAAAAAAACAAGCAAAUAAGAAUGCGUGAACAUUCAUUAUGGAUGGUAGACAGUAGAGAAACAUACUGAGGUCAGACAUACACAUACAGUAUUACACACAUUCUAUACAUGUUCAUUUGAUGCUUUUCAGGCUGUGGCACAUAUCUCACAACCAGUACUGCUGCCUGUCCCUCCUCAAGUAUUGUUUUUAUUUGUUCCUCUUCAAUCAUGCCUGUACUGUAAAGUUUUUCAUAUUGUUUGUGAUUUGGUUAAUGCAAUAACCUUAUUUUUCAUAAACAGGUGGACAUAGUCAUAGUCUUUUUGGCUUGAGACUUCUGGUCUCAUUCACUUCCAUUGAUUUUUAGACAUUAAAAACAGCUUGUUAUACUGCUUGAUUUUGCGAACUCAUUUCUUCUUAUAACAUAUUCUAUCUCGUAUGUAUUAUCAUGAACAAUGUUGUUUGUAGGGAAAGUAGUUUGACAAGUUUCUGCUGUUUAUUAAUUCUAGUCAUUUCUCUCAUCACCUGAAUCAGAAGUUCUUAAACAAUGGCAAAAACAAGCACACAAUUCUAAGGUCAAUAGGUCCCUUAUUGAUUUAAAUGGGUGACAGUGAAUGAAAAAGUCUCUCAAUUUCACACACUUUGCUCUAUUUCUUUCUGUGUCUGCCAGAGGUACUCCUGCCAAUUAUAAUAAUAAGUUAUAUUAUAUUAAAUAUGCAACGUUGAGUUGGGAUUAUAAUUGAUCAACAAUUGAGUAUACAUGAGAUUUGUGGAGUCAUUGCAAGGUAUACUAAAAACAGAGUGAAACUAUUAUUUGCAUGUGUUUUUAAGAGUGUAAAGCAUUCAGGCACAAUAACAUGAAACAUUUGUAACUUUAAUGAAGGAAAAUUUGACGGAUUUAUUAAUACAAUGAAAACUAUACAGCGUUGUUUUACAUUACUAAGUUUCUGUAUCUGAAUACUGUUAGACUUUCAAAAAAACCACAAAGAACUUUUUUUUUUCUUUUUCCUUUGCUCUAUUGUAAUUACUCUUGCAAUUUUAUUUUUUAUACAUGAAUCACACCCUUACAAAAUCAACCUAAUCAAUCUAAAUUAAUGCUUUUUUACAAAUAUAGCUAUUCAAGCCAUCUUGUGAAACUGUUUUCAUAUCACAAUAUACAUACAGUCAAACAGUUAAACAUUUUAAAUAACUGCUUUUUUAAUGUAUGUGAAAUGAAAUUCAAAUGAAACAAUGAAUCCAGUCAUUGUUGCUUUUACUACUAUGAACAUUAAUAACAACAACAAUAAUAAUAAUAAUAAUAAUAAUAAUAAUUUUCCUUUCAUGGGUUGCGACUGGAAGGCCAUCCGCUGCGUAAAACAUAUGCUUGAUAAGUUGGUGGUGAAUUCCACUGUGGCGACCCCUGAUUGAUAAAGGGACUAAGCCGAAAAUAAAAUAAAUGAAUUAAUUAAUAAUAAUAAUAAACAGCUUAUGAAUAUGGCUUGUCUACCUUUUGUUUUUCUCGUUCAUUUAUUUUCUUUUUGCUUAGUCUCUUAUUUAUCAGGGCAUAUUCCUACAUAUGUUUUAGGUAGUGGAUGCCCUUCCAGCCACAACCCAGUGCUAGGAAACACUCCUGCAUUCACACAAACUCAUUUAACCCAAUCCAAGUUUACCCAAUUCACCUAUGCCACAUGUAUUUAGACUGUGAGGAAAACUGGAGAACCCAGGGAAAACCCACGUGAACAUAGGGAGAACAUGCAAUAUUCACACAGAAAUGCCAACUGGUCCAGCUGGCAACCAGCGACCUUCUUGCUGUGAGACGACAGUGCUAACUAGCAAGCCACCAUGCCGCUCCUUUGUCCAUAAUGGGCAUCCCGCUCAACACUGAAAUUCAUCUUCUUACGGCUCCUUUUUUCUCUCUUAUUUCCCAUCUUAUUUGUCACGUUUUUAUUAGUGGUCUUUCAACCAUAACUGCUUAUUUUAUUCUGUUCCAUAAGUAUUUCUUGCCCCAUACUUUCAAUAGACCUAGAAAAAGUAGAGUAGUUUUAUCACAAACUGUACGCAAUAUAUUUCAAUAGAAGCAUUUCAGUCAAAUGUAAUUCAUACCUUAAACCAAUUUGGCAAGAAUCUAAAAGCAGGCGGGGAGUCAGGUUUCACUGUCCAUACUCAACAAUUCAGCACCACCUGCAGGGACAGCACCUUGCAACGUUGUAUGUAAGCAGGUGUACCUUUUUUAGGUAUACUUUGGGGAACACAGAGAAAUGGC
rnacentral:lncRNA from 1 species